rnacentral:rRNA from 1 species
AGUGAACGCUGGCGGCGUGCUUAACACAUGCAAGUCGAACGAGAACGGAUUAUAGCUUGCUAUAAUUGUCUGCUAAGUGGCGCACGGGUGAGUAAUGUAUAGGUAAUAUGCCUCUUACUAAGGGAUAACAAAUGGAAACGUUUGCUAAUACCUUAUACUCCUUAUUAACAGAAGUUAAUAAGGGAAAGAUUUAUUGGUAAGAGAUUAGCCUGUAUUGUAUCAGGUAGUUGGUGGGGUAAUGGCUUACCAAGACUAUGACACAUAACUGGUUUGAGAGGGUGAUCAGUCACACUGGAACUGAGACACGUUCCAGACUCCUACGGGGGGCAGCAGUGGGGAAUAUUGCACAAUGGACGGAAGUCUGAUGCAGCAACGCCGCGUGUAGGAUGACACAUUUCGGUGCGUAAACUCCUUUUAUAUGAGAAGAUAAUGACGGUAUUAUAUGAAUAAGCACCGGCUAACUCCGUGCCAGCCGCCGCCGUAA